ACUGAAACUCAAAGGAAUUGACGGGGGCCCGCACAAGCGGUGGAGCAUGUGGUUUAAUUCGAAGCAACGCGAAGAACCUUACCAGGUCUUGACAUCCUCUGACAACUCUAAAGAUAGAGCGUUCCCCUUCGGGGGACAGAGUGACAGGUGGUGCAUGGUUGUCGUCAGCUCGUGUCGUGAGAUGUUGGGUUAAGUCCCGCAACGAGCGCAACCCUUGAUCUUAGUUGCCAGCAUUUAGUUGGGCACUCUAAGGUGACUGCCGGUGACAAACCGGAGGAAGGUGGGGAUGACGUCAAAUCAUCAUGCCCCUUAUGACCUGGGCUACACACGUGCUACAAUGGAUGGUACAAAGGGCUGCAAGACCGCAAAGGUCAAGCCAAUCCCAUAAAACCAUUCUCAGUUCGGAUUGAACGCUGCAACUCACCUACAUGAAUCUGAAAUCACUAAUAAUCGCAAAUCACGUGCCGGGCUGAAUAUUUUCCCGGGGUUUGUACACAGGGGGGGGAUACAGAGGGGAAAAAACCCCUUUCCCCCCGGUGUUCCCCCCAAAUUCU
rnacentral:rRNA from 1 species